UACAUCUACGGCUCCAGAAAAAGUGAUUGUCUCUGUAAACGUAGCUAUUAUUUUAAACUUUACUUCGAAAACGAUAAGAGUUUAAAAUUAACGUCAUUGUGAAUAAGUGAUGGUAUCUGGAAAGUACAAUAUUUAUAAAUCAGUCUCGUUGGCAUCCCUGCCGACAACAUAAAAAACAACAAACGUUUUCCGCGCGCGUUCCCCUAAGAAGUCCUGUGUGCCGUUCCAGCAGCAAAUCUCCACCGUUUGGCUGUCGACUGAAGGGAAUCGGUAGCCGUCGUGAUUAUCGCAGGACAGACAAGAAAAAAGCCAGCGAUGUUUGUAACAGAAACAUAUCCGCUGGAGGAGCUGGAGGAGCAAUUUCACUCUGGAAGGAGCAAUCCUGACUUCGGGAUCCAGCAGCUGAUCCAACGUGUGUCGGAAAUUAGACCUCGUCCUGGUGAAGGAGCGAUAAGAAGAUAUCAGUCCGAGUCGAGAGGGUAUAAAGACGGCAAAGACAUGGUUCUAAAUUGCGCACCCGCCGCUGCAGGAGGAUCUUUUUCCAUUCCACCACUGUUUCAACCCCGGUGUUGGUUGAAAGUUGAUGGGUAAUUAUAUUUUUCAAAUAUCAGGUCGAUAGUAUGGUGUACAUAAUUAAAGUUGAUAAAAUAAAGAUUUAUAAAAUC